AGUGAGGCAUUAGUAUUCUCAGGGUAACUUCUGGAGGCUCUCAGUUAAUUGUGUUCUACUCAGUGGGGUCUUUUGGAAGAGUUGUGAGUGACAAGUCUCCAUGGAUGCCCCAAGUGAAUCAUGGAAGAGCUACAAGUCAGGCCGGUGGCUGUGGAGGAGGGAGGGAUGACUCCUGGGCAGCAAUCCCACUGCAGAACAGAACCAUUGUGGGUUUCUCCUGAAGCCAAUAUUCCUUAUGCCAACUUCUCUGCAUAAAUGACAACUCUGAAAUGUUUUGAAGAGAGCAUUGUGAAGGAGGUUCUUCAUGGUUGAUUUUAAUGCAAAGAGAGCUACCCAUGCUUUUUGCCUCUACUUCUCUCUCUUAACAGCAGGACCCAAUCUUGGAUGGUGAUAGAACCUGUGGAAGAGUGCUUACCUACAGUCACCAAGGUCCUAAGUUGAUCCACAGCAUACCUGCAAAAAGCUGGUGGGGGUGGAGUCUGCCCAAUCCACGAUGCCUGAACGCGUGUUUAAUCAUUAGUUCUUCUCAUGCUUUUCUGCUCUGCCACAAUUUUUCAGUCUCUCCUUAUUUCAGUGUACCUUAAUACUUUGGAGAUUAUUAGCAAGUAUGAUAUAGAAUGUUUUUCAACUUAAAUUCUCUGUUUUUUCAUGAAUAGACACUAAGUUUCAAGAGGAAAAAGCAGCUGAGGUAAGGUAUGCAUCUCAGAACAUCCCUGAACUGCGUUGGAGCAAGACACAGAAUGGCAGAAAGUUCUACUGUGUUGCCUAGUACAAACCCGUGAUAGCUUGCAAGUAGAUAACUUAUAUUGUUUAAAUAGUCGGGGUGUGGUACACAGCUGUAACACCAGCAUUCUGGAAACUGAGGCAAGGAAAAUUUCAAGUUCAAGCCCAGCCUGGGCAACUGAGUAACUUAACAAGACCCUGUCUCAAGGUGGAAAAAAAAAAUAGUGAGGAUAAUUAAAUGUAGCUGUGUGUAAAAGCUCUGAGCUCAAUUCCUAGUACAAAAGUUGGGGAAAACCAUUAAAAAGUAAUUAUUAGCAUGAAGAUUCAGUUCUAAAGCUAUAUCUUUUGCUUUGAUUGAGAAUUUAACCAAAAGAUCACAAUACUUUGUAAUCAGUUAUCAAGUGUUUAUAUUUCCUUUAAAGAAACAGUAUUAAUGAACAAUUGUUUGACUUACUUACCGUUAGUUCUAAAAUUUAAAAAUAAAUUUUUAAAAUACCUCCAUAAUGACACUACCCUCACAAACUUACUGCUUGUGUAAAAGAAGGUAUAGAGUAAUAGAUAAUAUGCUCAUGAAAACAGCAUACAAUCGUAAGGGUGCAUGGCAGGUACAAAUGUUGGAA